CCAGUUCUAUUUGAACUCUCCACAGAGAAAAUCGGACAAAUCACAUACAUAGAAUUCCAAAUAGUACAAAAGGGUCCUACAGACUUUGAAAUGGCUAUCCAACUUGGAUUCCAGCCAUGCCAAGCCAACUCAAAAUGGUCAUCCGUAAAGGAAGCUGUCUCUCCAAGGCCCCUCCUACUUUAUGUUCUUAGUCAAGGCAUCUACCAACACAAACACAUAUCAGAUGGAAACAUAGCUAAUUUUUCUCAUCAUUGAUAGGACUAUCACACAGUCUAGAGGAACUCCAUAGGCAGGGUUAUUAUUACAAAGGAAGCUACAGACACACAGGGUAACAUAGAAACAGUCUAGUUCAACCUUCUUUGCACCUGCUAAUACUUCCUCCAGUCAUCAUCGAGUCGUUCGCGCUUAAAUCGCUCCAGAACAUAGGAGAUAUAAUUUGCAGCCAUCCUGUCCACUUCGUUAAUGGAGUCUCCAUCCUUGGCGCCGUCGACAUAACCACUCAAGUCACCUACUCCAUCAUUUUUCAUAAGGGUGGAUGCCUUUAGCUUGGAUGAAGGGAGAACAAACUCACCAGCUUCCACGGCGAAUCCAUGCGAAGCAGCGGGAGGUGCAGCAGGCACUGAAGUCUUCGGUGCCCGAUGGAAGGGCAUGGCCAACUUCCCUUUGAGACUUCUACGCUUGUGACCUAACACCAUUUCCUCACUAAGCUUUUCACUCAAUGGCAGGAAUGGUUGCUCUGGUUGAUGGAGUGCUGUUUAUAUAGUGCAACAGAAGGGUUUGUGAUAAG
rnacentral:lncRNA from 1 species